rnacentral:lncRNA from 1 species
CCACCGUGGAGAUUCCAGUACUUGACCUCAGGCUCCUUGUAGCGGCCAUUUUCCACCACAGAGAAUGCGGGGAACAAUCCAGGGCAGAAGGCAAUGGGUCAUGGACAGUUCAAUGCCACUGAUUGGAGAACAUGUGGAGGAGGACAAGCAGUUAAUGGCUGACCUUGUUGUUUCCAAGAUGAGCCAACUCCUGGUGCCAGGGGCCUCGGUGCCCUCCCCCCUGAGACCUUGGGGUCCACAGACUAAAUCUGCAAAAUCUCCAGGGCAAGGCCAGCUAGGACCUCUGCUCGGACAGCCCCAGCCAAGGCCACCUCCACAAGGGGGCCCUCGUCAGGCUCAGUCUCCUCAGCCUCCCAGAUCUAGAAGUCCAUCCCAGCAGAGGCUCUCCCCACAAGGUCAGCAGCCUGUGAGUCCCCAGUCAGGAUCCCCACAGCAGCAAAGGUCACCAGGUUCUCCACAGCUAUCCCGGGCAUCUGGCGGCAGUUCUCCAAACCAGGCCUCCAAGCCAACUGCCAGUCUCAGUUCACAUACCCGGCCUCCUGUGCAGGGACGCAGCACCU